GAACAAGCAGCCCAUUUGGCUGUCCUGCAAUGAUCACUGAGCUAGCCAAGGCAUUGGCUUUUAUAGCUGAGACUCAUCUUGGAUUCAUUGUAGUUCAUUGUGGUGGCCAGCAGUAGCAAGGCAACUAUUUGGCUCAGUCAUUGGACAAGAGAGAAGAAAUAAAUGAGGCUGAAGAUAAUGAUGAUGAUGAUGGAGGUUGUAGCACUAGACUAGGUUUUCCACAGGCCGUCUUCAAACAGAAAAUCACUACACAUACAAAACAGGCAUGCAUACAUUUCUAUGGCCCUUUGUGCAAUGUAUUUGUUGUUUAUCAUUGUGGACUGUUGUGUGUAGGUUUUCGUUGUUCAGAUCCUGGCUCGUCAACCAUACACUGCAUUUCACACACGUUUUCCACCUAAUGGGAUAAGAUGCAUGUUCUCUGCCCCCCUUUCCUCGCCGAAAUAGAAUCAAGGUUACAAAAGUACGAUCUCUUGCAACCCUUAGGAUAGAAACUUAUUCAGGAACAGCUGAAGAACCGGAGGUCUAUCCAGGCCUGCCUCUGUUAUUUGGGAAAGUUUACAAUCCUUUAAACACACAAGAGGUGCAAAGUAUAUGUCAACUUUCUUGACGGAGAGCAACUCAUGCUUUGGAGAUCUCUUGGUUCAGUUCUCGUAACUGGGUUUUUUCCUAAGCGUUGGAUUGGGGGCUUGUUUCCCCCCCAAAAUAUGGCUGUGACUAUUUCCUCAAAGGCCGAAGAAUCAGAACCUUUGUUUACUAUGCAGCUAUAAUGGAAAUCAAUAUAGCAGACGGCAAACUGUUCUUUAAAAGUGGGAUCUUUUAAAUAUUCUCUGCAUGAACCCUGGCAGAAUCAGAAAUGUAAAAGCAACUGCUGUUUCUCUUGCCUUUACAUUAUUCAUUUUUACACAUUUUAUAUUAAGCCUUGAUGGCAUAUAAAAACCUAAAUCAACAUAAUUUGUCACAGGCAAAGGAAUUUUUUCAGAGUUUUCCUCUUAAGGUGCUACAGCCGAUUGAUUCCCUGCCUCACUAUCGCUCAAAUGGGCAUUAUAUGCAUAUAUUGCAAAUUGUCUCUACCUAUGUACUUGAAUAAAUGCAUCUUUGAUGCUUGUGUGCCUGC